rnacentral:rRNA from 1 species
AGAAUGAACGCUGGCGGCAUGCCUAACACAUGCAAGUCGAACGAAACCUUCGGGUUUAGUGGCGCACGGGUGCGUAACGCGUGGGAAUCUACCCCUUGGUUCGGAAUAACAGUUGGAAACGACUGCUAAUACCGGAUGACGACGAAAGUCCAAAGAUUUAUCGCCGAGGGAUGAGCCCGCGUAGGAUUAGCUAGUUGGUGUGGUAAAGGCGCACCAAGGCGACGAUCCUUAGCUGGUCUGAGAGGAUGAUCAGCCACACUGGGACUGAGACACGGCCCAGACUCCUACGGGAGGCAGCAGUGGGGAAUAUUGGACAAUGGGCGAAAGCCUGAUCCAGCAAUGCCGCGUGAGUGAUGAAGGCCUUAGGGUUGUAAAGCUCUUUUACCCGGGAUGAUAAUGACAGUACCGGAGAAUAAGCUCCGGCUAACUCCGUGCCAGCAGCCGC